rnacentral:rRNA from 1 species
CGGCGGACGGGUGAGUAACACGUGGGUAACCUGCCCAUAAGACUGGGAUAACUCCGGGAAACCGGGGCUAAUACCGGAUAACAUUUUGAACCGCAUGGUUCGAAAUUGAAAGGCGGCUUCGGCUGUCACUUAUGGAUGGACCCGCGUCGCAUUAGCUAGUUGGUGAGGUAACGGCUCACCAAGGCAACGAUGCGUAGCCGACCUGAGAGGGUGAUCGGCCACACUGGGACUGAGACACGGCCCAGACUCCUAC